CCCAUUUUCAAAGCUUUGCCUGAGACAGGGC
rnacentral:piRNA from 1 species